rnacentral:rRNA from 1 species
GUGGGGUAGAUGAUUGGGGUGAAGUCGUAACAAGGUAGCCGUAUCGGAAGGUGCGGCUGGAUCACCUCCUUU